AGUGGGAUGAAGGUGGGAAGGGCCUUGUGGGAGCGUUAAGAAGUUUGAGCUUUGGGACUUUUCUGUAUAUGAUAAAAUUGAUGUCUGUAUAGGGUACAGUGGGGACACAGAGGAGGAAGUGAAUACUUGUACCCAAGAGGUCAUGCAAGACUUAGGUUUUACUAUAUUUCAAUUAUUUUUACACUAACACUAGCCACAUUUAUUUCCCUGCUGGCUGUGUGCCUGCCACAGUACUUUACAAAUAUUGUCUCAUCCAACCCUCACACCAUCCCUGCGAAAUGGGUGUUAUUACCUCUACACAGAAGGGGAAGGGAGGCUCAGACAGGUUAAUAAUGUUCCCAGGGUCACUAGAAAGCUAGCCUGGAUCCCAAGGGGUCUUACAGCACUAAAUUAUACUUUCCUAAGAAGAGCUUCUUGAGGUCAGGGAUCAUGUCUUUUGUUUUUGCGUGCCAAGACCUAGGUCUUAGAAGACACCUAAUAAACAUCAGUUGAAAAAGAUGACUGGAUGAUCGAUCUUUCACUUUUUCCACGUAGAAAGCACGUGGCGACAGCACUGAGAAACCUCCAGGCCACCAGGGGGCGCGACGUCCAUUUCAGCGCAGUGGGGCCCGGUUGCGGACGCCUAGCUUCCUUCCCUCCUUUGGCUAAAGUUCAGCCAAUCCCUGCGCUCCGAGAGCCGGCGGCCAGUGGGCAGGGUCACAGGGCAAGGUCCCGCGGGGCGCUGGGAGCGGCGACUUCCGUGCUCCCGGCGAGCGGGCGGAGAGCGGGGGCCACACUGGGGAGUGUGGGCUGGGCCGCAGAUGUCAUGUGGCCUGUGUUUUGGACCGUGGUUCGUACCUAUGCUCCUUAUGUCACAUUCCCUGUUGCCUUCGUGGUCGGGGCUGUGGGCUACCACCUGGAAUGGUUCAUCAGGGGAAAGGACCCCCAGCCCGUGGAGGAGGAAAAGAGCAUCUCAGAGCGCCGAGAGGAUCGCAAGCUGGAUGAGCUUCUAGGCAAGGACCACACGCAAGUGCCUGGAAUGAGGCCGUGAGGCUCCAGUAGUCCUUUUGUGCCAUGAGGCAGUAGAAACCUGGGUUCCUGAUGACUGUGGAGUUGCCAAACUAAUCUGGACGUCCAGAUUCCAUACCUGCAAGACAUAUGAACAUCUAUCUGUCUUAUCCAUCCCUGGAGAGGAGCCCUGAGGGAGAGCAUCCAGGCCAUCCGGAUUUUCUGCAUGGAAGACCUGGCUGACCGCUGCCUGGGCUGCCUUUCAAGUCUCACGGAAUUAUGAAGUCAACUAUUGGGUGUUUAGAAUGUCUCAAGUUCAAAGACUAGCAGGCUGGAAGCAGACAUCCGAGGGACCUUCAGGCACUUUAGCAGAAGGAAUAUUAAGAUGUGGCACGCUGGGCUUAUCAGGAGACUGGAUAGGGAAUCAGAAGGAAUACAUUUUUAUUCUGCGAGCUGCAAAGUUCAGGAGUCGUUCUUCUGAUAUCAGGCCCAUUGCUGACUCUGUUAGGAAAUGUGGAAAGCUGCAGCUGCAGAGAGCUGGCUGUGCCUGCUCCACUGGAGUUCUCAGUUCUCUCACACCUGUCUGUUUAGAAAGGAGCAGGUGGGCUGUGAAGGUCUGCAGGAUUCUUCUCAGUGCUGGGGCAUUAGGAGAAAUGGUAGGGACAGCCACUCUGGGCAUCAGGACUGAAUACCUGCUCCCCACUCCUGUCAGUUGCACAGCCCAGCUCGCGGCUUCACUGCAGUGGGAAGGGAGAUGAGGGACUCUUGAACUCAGAACAUGACUGACCAAGACCCUUACAGCUGGGGUGGAGGUAGGGGCCCGAAGGCAGUUUCUGGAGGUGGGGAGCGAGUCUUCUGGUUGUUUUCCUGGCAACAGCGGGAAUAACAGAGUCUAGGUUCUGGCUGGCUCAGGAGCUGGGGUGUCUGGCCUGUCUUUCCUCAGUCCCUUCUGCUACAGAUACUGAUAGUUCUCUGCCACUAGGCUCCGCCUACCAAGUCCCUGAGCUCUUCCUGACCUAGCCUGGCUCUGAGUGGGGAGCCAGCAUGGCAGAGGGUGGGCCUGGUACUAGUUGUGUCUCCCUGAAUACAGGAUCUGAGAGCUGGGGGGCUUUGGACGCCCAGAGCCCGUGAGCCUGUUCUCUUCCCUCACUGUAGGUUCCCAAGCCAAUGGCUGGUUCCUGAUUUUACCUAGUCUUCUGCACUGGGAUAAGAACCUGACAUCCAGCUUCCCCUUUGGGAGCAAGGCCUUUUCCAGGGGCUGCUCCUGGUCUGUGUUUUCCUCUGCAGUUUGGGAGCCUAUUUCCCCCAUGAGGGCCCUAACCCUACCCACGAAGACACUACACACCCUGCUUUGAAGUAAUGUCCAGACUGGACUCCAGAUGCAGCCUCGGAUUAGACCCAAUUUGGCCACAUCUUCCUGGAGCUGUCUAGUAAUUUGGAAUCCACCCUGCUCCCUACUUAGCCACAUGCAAAGCAGGGUCCAUCUCCCAGCCUGGUUCUGCCUUUUCCUCAGUCUUAUAUGUGUGUGUCUGAGUACAUGUGUCAGUCAGUGAUCAUGCCAGGAUGGCCAGUUGGACUUGUGUCAGCAUGCAUGUGUGUUCCUUGAGGCUGUCCCGUGCAGGUGUGCACCAAGUUCUCAGCGCAGUUCUGAUGUCUGUUUGUGAAUAUGCCCAGAUACAUCAUGAACAUGGCUGGGAUGCUAGGAGGGGGAUCAGUAUGCAUGACAUUGCAUGUCUUCAAGUACACAGGUAUGUGUCUAUGCAGACGCACAAACCUCUCUAAUAUGUAUGUAUGCAUGUGUACAUGUGUAUAUAUGGCUAAGUGUGUGUCUGGGAGUGUUUGACCAUGUCUGAGAUGAGUCUUCUGCCCAUUCUGAAAGGAAAGGGGACAGGGGUCCACUCUCCCUUUUUGUAGUCACACUGUGGUUGGGGCUGGCUUGUGACAGAGGGAGUGAAGGUAAGUGCCCCUCAGAACCUUCUGGGAUCUUUCUGCCUAACAUUCUGAGACUUCCCCAGCUGUUUCCUAGCCUUGCAGCCUUGGCUUUUAGUACUUCAAGAUUAUUUGGCCAGGCGCGGUGGCUCAUGCCCAUAAUCCCUGCACUUUGGGAGGCCAAGGCGGGCAGAUCAUUUGAGGUCAGGAGUUUGAGACCCAGCCAACAUGGUCAGACUUUGUCUCUACUAAAAAUACAAAAAUUAGCCAGGUGUACUGGCACGUGCCUGUAAUCCCAGCUACUUGGGAGGCUGAGGCAGGAGAAUCACUUGAAUCCAGAAGACAGAGGCUGCAGUGAGUUGAGAUUGCACCACUGCACUCCAACCUGGGUGACAGAGUGACACUUGGUCUCAAAAACAAACAAACAAACAACAACAACAA